GGCUAUUAAGAGAAUAUUUUAAAAGUUUUAUAUACUAUAAAAGAAAUUUUAAAAAUUUUAGAGGGUCAAAACUAUAUAAGGCUCCGCUCCUGUCUUCUAUGUAGCGAAAUUGGUGUUAAGUUGACGCUAAAAAUAAAAAACAACCAAGUCUGUGGGAGCAGUUUGAUCCUUUUUCAUUGAGUUUAGUUUAUCUUUAUCUCUUAAGUUUUAAUCGAAAUUACACGAAAGUUUAUUAAUUAUCUAAAUGGACACUCCGCUUCAAAAACUUAUUUUUCGUUAUAUGCAUAAGUCUAGUCGAUAAUUAAUCGUUAAUAUUUCUGUCAACUUACUGACAUAAUAAGAGUAAAAAGAUAAUUUUAUUUUUAUUAAUUUUUAAAAUUAUAAUUAUAUAAUUUUUUAUUUUUUUAUUAAUUAAAAAAAAAAAACUUCCCAUUGGAGAGCACCAGGUGCUUUCCUGCUCCCUUAGAGAGAGAGAGCCCUGAUCGGGCUCUCCAAACUCUUUUGGGGGAGCAACAAUGGAUGCUUCCUAUUUUUUUUUAAAUAUAAUAAUAAUUUUUAAAUUAAUAAAAAAAGAAAAGAUAUUUAAUUUUUUCAUUAUUUUUGUUAACUAUGUUUGUAGUUUUGGGAUAAAGUAUCUAUUUUAAAAAUUAAUAAAUUUUUAUAUAAUUUUGAUUAAAAUUUAAAAAAUAAAGAUAUUUUACUCUAAUCUUUUCAAUUUUUUUUUGGCUCAACAGUCUCAGGCUUUUAACAUCUCAAACAUAUGAAGAUAAAGCAGAUAGUUUUUGCAUUAAAGGAAUACAUGAAUGAGACUCUUUUCGUGACAUACGCAAUCCACCAAUACGACCACACGAUCUAGCUAAUUAAGGGUGAUCACAAAUCUCCAUCAAGGUAAAUUCUCAAGGAUGAUUCCCAGCAAGGACUGCUUUGGCCUUUGAGCAUGACAUCUUCUUUACUUUUUAGAAAACACGGAAUGAGCUGUUAUCUGUUCAAAUGACUCGUAACUACGUUGUCGCAAAACAGCUUAAUUCUUAAACAAAUCGGCCGACAACAAUACCAGGGAAGCAACUGGAAUUGCCCCCAACUGAACUGUCAAGCUACUUGCCUUAUGUUCUACAUUGACUGAAUUCCUAUCCUCAAAAGUCAAUUACUUUACUAAUUCAAUAUACAAUGUUUAUAGCAGCAACAUUGUCGUAUUUUGUCCACCAUUUUCUGAAUGAUGUUUGAUGUUGUAAGCCAGCAGCCCUUAACUUUUUUUUUAUUAUUGUUUUCUUUAAUAAACCCUAUACUUAAUUAUUUCUUCUUCCAUUAUUAAAGACUAAGUGGUUGUAUUUGGGUUAA